GGUAUCUAAGCAAGUCGGAUCGAUCAAAAGUGCUGGAAAAGCACAGACAGUUGACAAAGCUUCAGCGCAGUGCAGCUUUAACUGUCAAGCCGAAGCCUUCCCCAAGGAAGCGCAGAAUCAAUCGAUACCGUCUGAGAAAGUGCAGCGUCUGCGACAAGAUAGUCAAGCGACUUGACGUUCAAGUUAUGAGUGUUCACCUCCUGAAACGUAGGACUGAGGAAUAUGGAAGGAUAAUGAGAGACUCACAACCUCUCUCUGAUGAGGAAGAGAGAGAGGCAACUGUGGCCGUCUCCAGUGGAGAUGUCACGGUCACGGUCUGUGAUGGUAUCAAGGAUUUUAUAGAACACUUUGAAAUCUACAUGAGAGCUUACACACCCCUUGUCCGUGGAUCUUUGACAGCUGAACUUCGCAUGGUCAAAGAUGUGUUAAAUUACGCUGUUGGGGAUGAGACAUUGGGUGCCAUUAGUGGUGGCACAGUAUGCAAUUACAUUGCAACCAUGGAUAACACUGACGGCUUUCUACAGAGAAAAAUGGUUUCAUGCUCGGCCAAUUACGCCCGAAAGCAUGUGGCAGCAUGCACCCGGGCUGUUGAGUUCAUGGCGAUUUCUAGUGAUAAGCUCUACAGGAUCAGUCAUGAAGAGAAACUAGACAUCGUCAAACGUCUAAAGAGCAUUAACAAUAAGUAUCGUAAGGACGAGAAGAUACAGGUUAUUCAGCAGAGGAAGAAGAAGGAGUCUGAGAACAUUGAUCUGGUGGAUAUACAAGCGUUGCUCCAGGCUCCUUAUCUGAACGCUAUUCUUGACUCAGCAGUCGCCUGCCUAGACGAUGAAACCUGCAGGCCGCGCACGAUCUCAGACUUCACCGAUUUGCGGGACGUGCUGACCACCUUCAUGCUGGUAACGUCACUUCGACGACUGAUGGAAUUUACAGAAUUCAGGCUGUCGGAGUACAUCGGCAUGGAGAGGGAUGGGGAUGGCUAUGUCAUUCGCAUAGCUCGGCACAAAACCGCUGCGCUAGGACCCUCGCUCGUAUUUCUCGAGGAGAGAAGAAGGCCCUUGACGCAUAUGUAAAGUAUUUUCGGCCACUGGCUGUCUCCUGCCGGGAGCCGGAAUGCUUGGUCUUCCCGACGAGGCAGCCCUACCCAAGAAAGCAGUGCUGCAACAAAAUAAGCGUUUCCAAUCUAGGAAAGACUGUGAAGCGCAUUGCUGUAAAGUGUGGACUGGGAGGGAAGGUCACCUCGAUAAUUAUCCGC